CCUACGGGUGGCAGCAGUGGGGAAUAUUGCACAAUGGGGGAAACCCUGAUGCAGCGACGCCGCGUGCGUGAGGAAGUACCUCGGUAUGUAAAGCUCUAUUAGCACGGAAGAAAAUGACGGUACCUGAUUCAGAUGCCCCGUCUAACUACGUGCCAGCAGCCGCGGUAACACGCAGGGGGCCGGCGUUAUCCGGAUUUACUGGGUGUUAAGGGAGCGUAGGCGGUUCAUCAAGUCAGAUGUGAAAACCCAGGGCUCAACCUUGGGACUGCUUUUGAAACUGGGUAGCUAGAGUGCGGGGGAGGUAAGCGGAAUUCGUGGUGUAGCGGUGAAAUGCGUAGAUAUUAGGAAGAACACCGAUGGCGAAGGCAGCUUACUGGAGUGUAACUGACGUUGAGGCUCGAAGGCGUGGGUAGCGAACAGGAUUAGAUACCCUUGUAGUC
rnacentral:rRNA from 1 species